rnacentral:rRNA from 1 species
GGGUCAGUAGGUUGGUCGUGCCACCGGUACGUACUGGUCUCACUGAUUCCUCCUUCCUGAAGAACCGUAAUGCCAUUAAUUUGGUGUUGCGGGGAAACAGGACUGUUACUUUGAAAAAAUUAGAGUGUUUAAAGCAAGCUAACGCUUGAAUACAUUAGCAUGGAAUAAUGAAAUAGGACAAUCGAUCCUAUUUUGUUGGUUUCUAGGAUUGACGUA